UCGCUUAACGGGCCCGAAAAGUUUCCGGGGCUUUCGAGAAACGGGCCCCAGGUGACACACAGCAAUAGACAGCCGAAAAAUAUCCCAAUUUUCGUCCCUUGACAGGCCGCCCAGCUUUACCAAUAGCUUAACCACUAUUUUGGAUAGCUAACUGAUGGAGUCUAUUAUGCCUGUUUUUAGGUAACAUUGACCGGGAAUUGUUCCAUAUAUUACUAAAAAUAUUUCUUGAGUUUUCUUAGAGCACAUCCGUUUUAAAAGACUGCAUUCAGCCAGCUUUGAAUUUAAUUUUAUGACUAUCCUCGCACAAAUAUUCCGUUGAUUGAGGAUAAAUUGAAUUGAGGUUAGAAAAUCUGCAGCAAAUACGUAUGUCACAUGCGGUUUUAUGGAGUAUCCCAUGAUACACUAAAAGCACAAUUUAAGGUCACGUGGCCAGAAGCAUGAUGUCUUCGAAAAUAUGGCGGGUGUUUUGUCUUGCAAGAAUGAAAUACAUUGAACUGAAAGGAGCCUAGAUUUUUAAGACAGGGACAGGAUGAUAUCACCAGGGAAACUAUGAUUGGUACAUGUAGAGAUCAAGGAAUUCUGCAAAGGUUAAAAAAGUGGCAGCAAGCAAGGAAAAGAGCUAUGUGCUGAGAUUCAAGAGAGAAGGAAUCAAAUUGCGACAUGGGAUCGUAGUUUCUCACUAGAUACAAAACAGAGAAGAAACAAUAAAAGCUGUGCUGUCUUAAGAGGAAAAAGAAUCAAAGUGAGACAUUGGAUCCCUUAUUAGGCUGCCAUCUCAAGUGUACAUGCAGCGACAUUAACAUGGAGAAAGAAGCAAAGGAAAGCAGACUUUCGUUUAGAUGUUUCUUUAGUGGAUCACCUUUUUUGAAAGUAAGGUAGAUCUACAAGGCAAAGUUUCAGUGUCGCGAAAGAUUGUCAGGGCCGAGCUCGUAUUAGUGAAUUCUCAAAACUUGAGAGUCAAAAGAUGUCACUAGAAUUACUGUCAAAUUGUCUAGUAUCUGCCAAAUUGGUUAGCAUCUUGCUUGUUUUCGAGGGAGCCGUGAAUUGUACUUCCAGUUUGUAGCUUUAAAAUUAAGGCAGAAUAUUAGCACUACCUGGAGUUGUUUUUGCAACCUGAAUUGUCAGCUUGGAAGUCUCGUUAUUAAACUCGUUGAAAUAACUGUCUAAUUGUUUAGUAUCUAUUUCAAAAACUUAGUGUAAGCUUUCCAGUUUCGAAGGACGCAUUGCAUUCAUGUAAAGGUUGCGCUUUUAAAAGGGCCAAGAAACAAACUCGAGAAGUGGAAAAAUUGUCCUUAGGAAAAAAGGUCUGCGAUUUUAAAUGGUGUCUGGUUUGGGUCAAUCAUAUACCGAGUCUUUUGGCGGAAAAAAUCUUGCACUUUGCGAGAUUAUUCCCGACAAAACUCACAGUAUAUGUUUGAUUUCUGGCUAGACUCUGUUCAAAAGCGCAGAAUUUUUUUUCUUUUUGACAACCCUACAUAGU